rnacentral:rRNA from 1 species
ACGUAGGAGGCAAGCGUUAUCCGGAGUUACUGGGCGUAAAGGGCGUGCAGGCGGUUGGCUAAGUUCGUUGUGAAAGCGCCCAGGCUUAACCGGGCGAGGACAAUGAAGACUGGUCAGCUAGAGGACGGUAGAGGGGUGUGGAAUUCCGGGUGUAGUGGUGAAAUGCGUAGAGAUCAGGAGGAACAUCCGUGGCGAAGGCGACUGCCUGGGCCAACACUGACACUGAGGCACGAAAGCGUGGGGAGCAAACAG